GGCGGAGGAUGCAAGUGUUAUCCGGAAUCACUGGGCGUAAAGCGUCUGUAGGUGGUUUAAUAAGUCAACUGUUAAAUCUUGAGGCUCAACCUCAAAAUCGCAGUCGAAACUAUUAGGCUAGAGUAUAGUAGGGGUAAAGGGAAUUUCCAGUGGAGCGGUGAAAUGCGUAGAGAUCGGGAAGAACAUCGGUGGCGAAAGCGCUCUACUGGACGGUAUCUGACACUGAGGGACGAAAGCUAGGGGAGCGAAUGGG
rnacentral:rRNA from 1 species